CACGUAGGGGGCGAGCGUUGUCCGGAUUUAUUGGGCGUAAAGAGCUCGUAGGCGGCUAAGUAAGUCGGGUGUGAAAACUCCAGGCUCAACCUGGAGACGCCACCCGAUACUGCUUUGGCUAGAGUCCGGUAGGGGAGCAUGGAAUUCCUGGUGUAGCGGUGAAAUGCGCAGAUAUCAGGAGGAACACCAGUGGCGAAGGCGGUGCUCUGGGCCGGAACUGACGCUGAGGAGCGAAAGCGUGGGGAGCAAACAGG
rnacentral:rRNA from 1 species